GAUCAUGGCUCAGGAUGAACGCUGGCGGCGUGCCUAAUACAUGCAAGUAGAACGCUGAAGGAGGAGCUUGCUCUUCUGGAUGAGUUGCGAACGGGUGAGUAACGCGUAGGUAACCUGCCUGGUAGCGGGGGAUAACUAUUGGAAACGAUAGCUAAUACCGCAUGACAACAGUUAUUGCAUGAUAACUGUUUAAAAGGGGGUACGAACUGCUCCACUACCAGAUGGACCUGCGUUG
rnacentral:rRNA from 1 species